rnacentral:tRNA from 1 species
AGUAAAAUAAGCUAAAAUAAGCUUUUGGGCCCAUACCCCAAAAAUGUUGGUUUAAACCCCUCUUUUACUA